AAUUAGUCAAUGCUGGCAAAUAUUCGGCCUUUCGAUUUGAAAUAAUGAAAUAUGUAUGUGGUGAAAAUGUAGGAUAUUCCAUAUGAUAUGUGUAUCACUUCUUAUCAACUUAUCCUAUAAAAAUCUUACACUCAUGGAUGUAUCCAUAAUGUAGGGGGGAAAUGUGCACAGCGGAGCAUCCAGACAACCGAGUAGAGCGAUAUGAAAUAGCCAAGACAACACCCCCACUCAAUACAGUUGCCUACCUCACUGGAACGCGGGCAAUAACAAACACCACGUGACUGACUGCAGUACAGUGAGUCUAGACGCACGAGAGACUAGUGCUCAGAGCCUCCACGAUGUCCGGCGGAGAGGAGGAGAAAAGAAAAAGAUGCACCAGCGCAUCCCGAAACGGACCCAAGGGCUCAGAGUCGUCAGGGUGGAGACGGCUACUAGAAACCAAUCCAGAGGGGCUGGUGGAGGUUGCUGCUGAUGAUGCCCAUCUCUGAUGUACCGAGGGCCUCUACUUUGGGCCAGUCUCCGCGCCGGCCCAGUGAUGGAUGACCAUUGGCAUGCCAACACCGCACCAUAUUUCAAUUUCCUGCACAGGCAGAGGAAUUCUGAGGGGUUGACCGGAGUUCUGCCGCACAGUGUGGGCCCGCCAGCUGAACCUGCCCGGCAACAUGGAGACACAAGGCCCAAACAGCCAGGAACAUUCCAGAACCCAGGAGCUCUCUCUCUCUGACAUUCCCUCUCUCUCCUUCUCUCUCUCUCUCUCUCUCUCUGUGUCAGCCUUCUUGUUGUCCUCCAGCGAAACAGACUGGGUCACAGCCACAUGGGUGAACACAGGAGAUAGGGCAGGAAUAACACAGUAACAGGCAGUUAAUGAACAUGAUUUGUUUUUUUCCGAUAACAACACACUCUCUCCAGGUAAUAUUAGAUGUUCUCAGUUUUACUAUUAGUUUUUUGGUAAAUGGACAA